AAGUGAACCUUAAUUUUUGUCUAAGGGAUUAGUAUUUUUCCACUUCAAAGUUAAUCUAGUUAUUAACACUCAUAUCUACUUCUGUUAUCUGGCUCCAUUUACUCCACCAGGUAUUUAAAAUGUCACAAAUGGUAUCAGAGUAUGGUUCUUGGAAGAAUUCCUUAUACUAAGGCCUAUAAUAUAGACUUAGAAAAAAACCUUAAAAAAUUCUUAGAAUUAGAAAUGACCUUUUU
rnacentral:lncRNA from 1 species